rnacentral:rRNA from 1 species
UACGUAGGGGGCGAGCGUUGUCCGGAUUUAUUGGGCGUAAAGGGCGCGUAGGCGGCUCGGCACGUCCGUUGUGAAAUCGCCCGGCUCAACUGGGCGGGGUCAGCGGAUACGGCCGAGCUUGAGCAAGCUAGGGGGCAAUGGAAUUCCCGGUGUAGUGGUGGAAUGCGUAGAUAUCGGGAGGAACACCCAGUGGCGAAGGCGGUUGCCUGGGUCAAGACGUGACGCUCAUGCACGAAAGCGUGGGGGAGCAAACAGG